CGGACGGGUGAGUAACGCGUGAGCAACCUGCCUUUCAGAGAGGGAUAACGUUUGGAAACGAACGCUAAUACCGCAUGACAUUUAUCUUAUCGCAUGGUAGGAUAAUCAAAGGAGCAAUCCGCUGAAAGAUGGGCUCGCGUCCGAUUAGGUAGUUGGUGGGGUAACGGCCCACCAAGCCGACGAUCGGUAGCCGGACUGAGAGGUUGGACGGCCACAUUGGGACUGAGACACGGCCAGACUCCUACGGAAGGCAGCAG
rnacentral:rRNA from 1 species